CGGCGGCGCGUACGUGAAGAAAUCGGCCUGCUCGACGAGCCCGGCGUCCUCGCCCAGUUCGCGGCGCGCGGCGGCAACCGCCUGGGCGGAAAAAUCGAUCGCGCGCACGG
rnacentral:rRNA from 2 species